rnacentral:rRNA from 1 species
UACAGAGGUCUCAAGCGUUGUUCGGAUUCAUUGGGCGUAAAGGGUGCGUAGGUGGCGCCGUAAGUCGGGUGUGAAAUUCGGAGCUUAACUCCGAAACUGCAUUCGAUACUGCGGUGCUUGAGGACUGGAGAGGAGACUGGAAUUCAUGGUGUAGCAGUGAAAUGCGUAGAGAUCAUGAGGAAGACCAGUGGCGAAGGCGGGUCUCUGGACAGUUCCUGACACUGAGGCACGAAGGCCAGGGAGCAAACGGG